rfam:Salmo salar isolate Sally breed double haploid chromosome ssa19, whole genome shotgun sequence.
CUGGGCUAUGGGGACAUGUACCCCGAGACGUGGUCGGGGAUGCUGGUGGGUGCGCUGUGCGCCCUGGCGGGGGUGUUGACCAUCGCCAUGCCUGUGCCCGUCAUCGUCAACAAU